rnacentral:snRNA from 1 species
AUGCUCACUUCAGGAGCACAUAUACAAAAAUUGGAAUGAUACAGAGACGAUUAGCAUGACUCUUAUUCAAAGAUGACAUGCAAAUUCAUGAAGCAUUCCAUUUUUUU